UACGAAGGGUGCAAACGUUGCUCGGAAUUAUUGGGCGUAAAGCGCACGUAGGCGGUAUUGCAAGUCGGAUGUGAAAUCCCUCGGCUUAACCAAGGAAGUGCAUCCGAAACUGCUGUACUUGAGUACGAAAGAGGAUCGCGGAAUUCCCGGUGUAGAGGUGAAAUUCGUAGAGAUCGGGAGGAACACCAGUGGCGAAGGCGGCUACCUGGACCAGCACUGACACUGAAGCACGAAAGCGUGGGGAGCAAACAGG
rnacentral:rRNA from 1 species